ensembl:snRNA U6 U6 spliceosomal RNA
AUGUUUGCUUCAGCAGUAUAUAAACUAAAAUUGGAAGUAUAUAGAGAAAAUUAACAUGGCCCCUGCACAGGGAUGACAUGCAAAUUAGUUAAUUAAUUCCAUAUAUAC